AUUUAUAUUUGCACUGGCUCCAGUCUGCGGUGGGGCUGGAAAGUGUAUUUCAUUCAGCAUGUCACUUCAAGGGAAGGGUAGGGGUUUCCAGCCUUCCGCCAGCGACAGUAAAUCACUCUGCCUUGCACCGUUGUCCACCAGGAAACUAAACCACCCUGCCUUGCACCGUUGUCCACAAGGAAACUAAACCCCCCUGCCUUGCAUCGUUGUCCACCAGGAAACUAAACCACCCAGCCUUGCACCGUUGUCCACCAGGAAACUAAACCCCCCUACCUUGCACCGUUGUCCACCAGGAAACUAAACCACCCAGCCUUGCAUCGUUGUCCACCAGGAAACUAAACCCCCCUGCCUUGCAUCGUUGUCCACCAGGAAACUAAACCACCCUGCCUUGCAUCGUUGUCCACCAGGAAACUAAACCCCCCCUGCCUUGCAUCGUUGUCCACCAGGA
rnacentral:lncRNA from 1 species